rnacentral:misc_RNA from 1 species
CACCAAUCAAGCCUGGCUUGGUAUUGGGGCACGGGGGAGACCCGGCCCUCAAUGUCUUCGGCAGGAGCGCCCCGAUCGCAGCGUUGUGGCAUACAUUCUCGCUGGUGAGACGGGUGGUUCGCGCCGUAAACUCCAUUAAA